GAGGGUAUAGCUCAAGUGGUAGAGCGCAUGCUUAGCAUGCAUGAGGUCCUGGGUUCAAUCCUCAGUACCUCCU
rnacentral:tRNA from 1 species